CUCCCAGCAUGCCCGGACAGUCAGCGGAGACAUCUCACAUAUCACUCACUGUCGAUCCCGUCAGAAUAAUUACCAGAGAGGAAAGUCUCUCAAUUCAUUUAUCAUUUUAAUUGCGAUUUAAUGACGGCGCGCGGCGGCCGGGAUCAUCCAUCAUACGCCGGAGACGAGGCGCCGCCACCGCGGGAAUUACAGAUCUGCCAAGAUAUCCGGAGCGCCGAAUAUAACAUCCGAGGAGACGUGCCAGCUGUACGGAGCCGCGCCAAAAGGAACAGAGCUUGUCACCGUGCCAGGAGAUACGGGGGAAACAUCACCGGGCACAGGGGCUAGGGAGGCGACCUCUGCGGGGCCCGGGGGGGAGAACAGGGGCCCCACUGCUAUGGCUGUCACCAGGUGUCAGCUGGAGGAGAAAAAUCAUCCUGCCCUAAGAUGGUGGGGUGCCACAUCAUGGACCAGUGCAGAACCGUUAUUGUUCUGUGCAGCAUCUGACAUAAAGGGGUACUCUGCUACCAAACCCCAAGAUAUAUAACUUACUAAUAAACUGUUAUCACACAUUG